rnacentral:rRNA from 1 species
AGGUUUAGUUACUGUUAAAUCCAUCUUUUCAUUAGUUUUUAGAGUUAAUGUGUGCUUAGGUUUAAAUUGUAGCUCAUUAUUUCUAUAAAAUACGCUGCACCAAGGCCUGUUUUUGUUGAUAUUGGUUAUCAGAAUAUUAAAAUUUUUUAAUGGUUAAUUUUUACGGCGGUAUACAGGCAUGUUUAUAGUAAGUUGGUCGUGUGGUGACGUUUAUAUAACAAGCUCCUCUAAUUUGGUAGAUUGCCGCCAAAUUCUUUGGGUUUAAGGAAUUUAACAGUUACUACCCACCAAUAGUUUUCUCAGGAAUAACAGGGUAUCUAAUCCUGGUUUA